rnacentral:rRNA from 1 species
CCUACGGGGGGCUGCAGUCGAGAAUCAUUCACAAUGGGGGAAACCCUGAUGGUGCGACGCCGCGUGGGGGAAUGAAGGUCUUCGGAUUGUAAACCCCUGUCAUGUGGGAGCAAAUGAAAAAGAUAGUACCACAAGAGGAAUAGACGGCUAACUCUGUGCCAGCAGCCGCGGUAAUACAGAGGUCUCAAGCGUUGUCCGGAAUCACUGGGCGUAAAGCGUGCGUAGGCUGUUUCGUAAGUCGUGUGUGAAAGGCGCGGGCUCAACCCGCGGACGGCACAUGAUACUGGGAGACUAGAGUAAUGGAGGGGGAACCGGAAUUCGCGGUGUAGCAGGGAAAUGCGUAGAUAUCGAGAGGAACACUCGUGGCGAAGGCGGGUUACUGGACAUUAACUGACGCUGAGGCACGAAGGCCAGGGGAGCGAAAGGGAUUAGAUACCCCAGUAGUC